rnacentral:rRNA from 1 species
AGUGAACGCUGGCGGUAGGCCUAACACAUGCAAGUCGAACGGCAGCACAGUAAGAGCUUGCUCUUACGGGUGGCGAGUGGCGGACGGGUGCGGCAUACAUCGGAAUAUACUUUUUCGUGGGGGAUAAUGUAGGGAAACUUACGCUAAUACCGCAUACGACCUACGGGUGAAAGCCGGGGCUCUUCGGACCUUGCGUGAUUGAAUGAGCCGAGGUCGGUUUAGUUAGUUGGUGGGGUAAAGGCCCACCAAGGCGACGAUCCGUAGCUGGUCUGUAGGGAUGGACAGGCAGACUGGAACUGAGACACGUUCGAGACUCCGGAGGUAAGAAACAGUGGGGAAUAUUAGGCGAUGGAGGCAAGGCGGAUCCAGCCAUACCGCGUGAGUGAAGAAGGCCUUCUAGUGGGAAAGCCCUUUAGUUGGGAAAGAAGAACAGCAGGUUAAUACCCCGCUGUUCUGACGGUACCCAAAGAAUAAGCACCGGCUAACUUCGUG